rnacentral:rRNA from 1 species
UACGUAGGGUGCAAGCGUUGUCCGGAAUUAUUGGGCGUAAAGAGCUCGUAGGCGGUUUGUCGCGUCUGCUGUGAAAACCCGGGGCUUAACUCCGGGCCUGCAGUCGAUACGGGCAGACUAGAGUUCGGCAGGGGAGACUGGAAUUCCUGGUGUAGCGGUGAAAUGCGCAGAUAUCAGGAGGAACACCGGUGGCGAAGGCGGGUCUCUGGGCCGAUACUGACACUGAGGAGCGAAAGCGUGGGGAGCGAACAGG